rnacentral:pre_miRNA from 1 species
CUUGUACUCCCUCCGUCCGAAAAUACUUGUCAUUGAAAUGGAUGUAUCUAGAUGUAUUUUAGUUCUAGACACAUCCAUUUUGAUGACAAGUAAUUCCGAAUGGAGGGAGUACUUG